AUCAGUGUGUCUGGGAGGAGCCAAGGAAUAUGCUUGCUUAAGAGGUGUUUGUGGCAAUCCUCUGGCAUGGGGACGCAUCUGACACAGCCUUUUGCUUGCUUGUGACAAACAGAGCAUUGCAGAAGUGAUGCUGCGUGACCUCCAGGAUAAAGCUAUAAAAGGCAAUGCAGCUUGCACAUUGUUUGCUAGAACCCUCACUCUUGAAGCUUUCAGCUACCACUUAAUAAGCAGUAAGCUCAGCUUCCCUGAGGAUGCCACACUGUGAGGAAGCCGAAAGUAGCCCACAUGAAGAGACCAUGUGGAGAGGCCCUGAGAGAGAGAGAGAGAGAGAGAGAGAGAGAGAGAGAGAGAGAGAGAGAGAGAGAGAGACUGAUCAGCCCUCAUGAACUCCAAUUCCUUGGGAUUCUACUUCCAGCCAUCAUUGGACUAAGACCACACGAGAGACCCUAAGCCUAACUCAUCCUGAAUUCCUGAUCCACUGAGACCCUGAGAGACGAAAUAUUGUGGUUUUAAGUCACUAAGUUUUGGGCUGAUUUGUUACCGAGCAAUAAAU
rnacentral:lncRNA from 1 species